rnacentral:pre_miRNA from 1 species
AGGAAGCGAGUUGUUAUCUUUGGUUAUCUAGCUGUAUGAGUGUGUUGGCCUUCAUAAAGCUAGAUAACCGAAAGUAAAAACUCCUUCA